UCCAGAACUAAAACGCCAAUCUCUCCAGUAACGUCUCAACCUUUCGUUAAUCCGUUCUUUAACUCCGAGCUUUUUGCAUGAUUAGCCCCACUUCUCCCACUGAGAAGCAUUCAAUCGACCUCAUCACAUUCCAGAGUAACCGACUGAAGCAACGAGUACAAAUACACCAUCUUCCAGCGAUGAACAGCACAACUCACCUCUACGAUGAUCCACAGAUCAAUUAGCGUCCACCGCGUUGGAAACUUUCCAAAGCCUCCUCAGAGAGGGAUGUAGUUAUGAGCUGAGUUCAUUUUAUGUGACAAAAAGCAAUCAGUACUCUCAGAGAGGAAGCCAAAUAAUCAUGGCAAGCUCAAGCCCGGCACUUACGAGGAUUAGUUAGACAGACUUAGCUGGAGCUAUUUUUGCUUCCCUCCUUCAGUCAAUAGGUGGGUACAUGUCUGUGAACAUGUUUAUUAAAGCUUAUGAUCGAGAGAUUAAAGCCGGUGCAUGUCUAAGGAUUACCAAGCGCAGGGGUUUGGAGUAUUGCUAAACUCCAGUGGAACAUGCAUAGUACAUGGUGGUUUCACCUUGAAGUAUUCGCUCUUAUCUCUCAGUUUCCUUAGCCAGUUAGUACAAAUGACUAUCAUCGUGGUCAUAGACAUAUGUAGUGAAGCUAAGCCAACGCUCUACGUGUAUUGGGUAGAAGAUGCCGCGGCGGAGAUAGAGCUUACCGGGUCUGGAAUAAAAUUCCCGAGAAAAACUAUUUAGGACAAGCUUUGGAAGAACUCAGAUGCUGCACGCGAUGUCUUACUCCGGUGGGAGAUUGCUGGCUACCCUGAAGUUGCAGUCACAGUUGGAAGCUCCGAACCCUUAAAGUAUCUUGCAAAAAUCUCUAUCUAUGGAAACAACAACCCGGCUGUUUUGUGCUACUUAGUGAUGCAGGUCAUGAGUUGACUGGAAAGCAUGCCAUGGAAUUAGUUGACAACUACUUUCAGGUUAGUUGGCUUCAGAUUUUACUUGGACCUAGAGUUAUUUAUACUCGCUUUUUUAAAACAAUGGUAGUCUAAUGAAAACAUUAGUGCGGACAAUGAGAUGCCUGCUCCCCAAGCUUUAAUCUACACCAUUGGUCAAACACAUACGUUCAUGGUCAGAGUAUCUGAGUACAACUUGACAGGGAAGACUAAGUCUAUAACUGUUACAAAGGUGCUUUCUUCAUCGGUUCUGCCACCUAUAGCAGCCCCAGUUGAGAGUGAUGUGUGUGCAUCUUCGAAAGGUUGUGGAGACCUUGCUGAUGAGGGAAAUGAAAGCACCAGUAACACCCACGUAUCACAGAAAGCUAAUCGUGCUGCUGGAUAAUAGAGCUUUCGACUCAUCCCAGUGCUAGCAUGCGUUGGAGUGUUACUCUUUUGUUUUUUUUUUAAGUUUGUGCUUCGACUAAGUUUUUCUUUAUUUGGUUUUCAACCAUCGUUGUUGCUAUGGCUUAAUAUUUGAACACAGUUUACUUAUUUGUUAGCCUUUAUUUUUUUUUAAGAGCAAAGAUUUCGAGGUUCCUAAGCA